rnacentral:rRNA from 1 species
AUUGAACGCUGGCGGCAGGCCUAACACAUGCAAGUCGAGCGGAUGAAGGGAGCUUGCUCCUGGAUUCAGCGGCGGACGGGUGAGUAAUGCCUAGGAAUCUGCCUGGUAGUGGGGGAUAACGUCCGGAAACGGGCGCUAAUACCGCAUACGUCCUGAGGGAGAAAGUGGGGGAUCUUCGGACCUCACGCUAUCAGAUGAGCCUAGGUCGGAUUAGCUAGUUGGUGGGGUAAAGGCCUACCAAGGCGACGAUCCGUAACUGGUCUGAGAGGAUGAUCAGUCACACUGGAACUGAGACACGGUCCAGACUCCUACGGGAGGCAGCAGUGGGGAAUAUUGGACAAAGGGCGAAAGCCUGAUCCAGCCAUGCCGCGUGUGUGAAGAAGGUCUUCGGAUUGUAAAGCACUUUAAGUUGGGAGGAAGGGCAGCAAGUUAAUACCUUGCUGUUUUGACGUUACCAACAGAAUAAGCACCGGCUAACUUCGUG